CAUGCAGUCGAGCGGUAGGCCCUUCGGGGUACACGAGCGGCGAACGGGUGAGUAACACGUGAGCAAUCUGCCCUUCACUUUGGGAUAACUACCGGAAACGGUGGCUAAUACCGGAUAUGACCGCUCCCGGCAUCGGGUGGUGGUGGAAAGUUCUGGCGGUGGAGGAUGAGCUCGCGGCCUAUCAGCUUGUUGGUGGGGUAAUGGCCUACCAAGGCGACGACGGGUAGCCGGCCUGAGAGGGUGACCGGCCACACUGGGACUGAGACACGGCCCGGACUCCUACGGGAGGCAGCAGUGGGGAACAUUGGACAAUGGGCGAAAGCCUGAUCCAGCAACGCCGCGUGAGGGAUGACGGCCUUCGGGUUGUAAACCUCUUUCACCUGUGACGAAGCGAAAGUGACGGUAGCAGGAGAAGAAGCACCGGCCAACUACGUGCCAGCAGCCGCGGUAAUACGUAGGGUGCGAGCGUUGUCCGGAAUUAUUGGGCGUAAAGGGCUCGUAGGCGGUUUGUCACGUCGGGAGUGAAAACUCGGGGCUUAACCCCGAGCCUGCUUCCGAUACGGGCUGACUAGAGGUAUGCAGGGGAGAACGGAAUUCCUGGUGUAGCGGUGAAAUGCGCAGAUAUCAGGAGGAACACCGGUGGCGAAGGCGGUUCUCUGGGCAUUACCUGACGCUGAGGAGCGAAAGUGUGGGGAGCGAACAGGAUUAGAUACCCUGGUAGAAUCACUAGUGAAUUC
rnacentral:rRNA from 1 species